AGUUAUCAGCCCUAUGUGAAUCAUCAGCACAUCAUGGCAGAGUUAAGCGUGUCAGCUGGCUCUUCAGGAUGAGCGUGCCUGGACUGUGAAGGGGAAAAAAGAGUGAGACAGACAAUAUCUGGAGAAUGUGAUGCACCAGCCAUAUGAAAAGUGAGAGAUUUUAUUUAUCCAGAAGCAUCAUGGUGGAGCAGGAGAUGAUAUCAAGAUGUGUUUGUCCUCAAGAAAAGUGUAAGUGACCACAUUUGAUUUUUGUGUAAGAAACAAACAUGACAUGGAUAGAUGAAAUGAAAAAAAAACAACUUAACAAUUUAGACAUGGGGGAGAAAAAGGGGAAAUCUUAAAAAUGAGUAAAGAAGGAAACAAUUAACUUUAUAUUUCUAGGCUUGCAAUAUGAUCAGAGUUUUUACUUCACAAAAGAGAAGGACUCUUGUGUGAAGUAUCUUGAAAGGUUGUUUUUUUUAUUGUGGGACUUCCUGCUUGCAUUAGCAAAGAACUGUAAUGUAGUGGCUGCUUCAGUGGAGGGGACUUGAACAAUGAGUUUGAAUAACUUGAGUGACAGACUGAAGUGCUGUGGGAAGCACUUUGUAGCAACAGUGUGUUUUUAAUCAUGCAAUGUCUUUUUUUUUU